rnacentral:rRNA from 1 species
AGAGUUUGAUCCUGGCUCAGAUUGAACGCUGGCGGCAUGCCUUACACAUGCAAGUCGAACGGCAGCACGGGAGCUUGCUCCUGGUGGCGAGUGGCGAACGGGUGAGUAAUAUAUCGGAACGUACCCUAGAGUGGGGGAUAACGCAGCGAAAGUUGCGCUAAUACCGCAUACGAUCUACGGAUGAAAGUGGGGGAUCGCAAGACCUCAUGCUCAUGGAGCGGCCGAUAUCUGAUUAGCUAGUUGGUGGGGUAAAGGCCUACCAAGGCAUCGAUCAGUAGCUGGUCUGAGAGGACGACCAGCCACACUGGAACUGAGACACGGUCCAGACUCCUACGGGAGGCAGCAGUGGGGAAUUUUGGACAAUGGGGGCAACCCUGAUCCAGCAAUGCCGCGUGAGUGAAGAAGGCCUUCGGGUUGUAAAGCUCUUUUGUCAGGGAAGAAACGGUGAGGGCUAAUAUCCUUUGCUAAUGACGGUACCUGAAGAAUAAGCACCGGCUAACUACGUGCCAGCAGCCGCGGUAAUACGUAGGGUGCAAGCGUUAAUCGGAAUUACUGGGCGUAAAGCGUGCGCAGGCGGUUAUGUAAGUCAGAUGUGAAAUCCCCGGGCUCAACCUGGGAAUGGCAUUUGAGACUGCAUGGCUAGAGUGUGUCAGAGGGGGGUAGAAUUCCACGUGUAGCAGUGAAAUGCGUAGAGAUGUGGAGGGAUACCGAUGGCGAAGGCAGCCCCCCGGGAUAACACUGACGCUCAUGCACGAAAGCGUGGGGAGCAAACAGGAUUAGAUACCCUGGUAGUCCACGCCC